UGAGUAACCUGCCCUUGACUCUGGAAUAACAGUUGGAAACAGCUGCUAAUACCGGAUACGUCCUCCGACGGCAUCAUCUGGAGGUGGAAAGCUCCGACGGUCAAGGAUGGGCUCGCGGCCUAUCAGCUUGUUGGUGAGGUAACGGCUCACCAAGGCUUCGACGGGUAGCCGGCCUGAGAGGGCGACCGGCCACACUGGGACUGAGAUACGGCCCAGACUCCUACGGGAGGNAG
rnacentral:rRNA from 1 species